CAAAGAGCACUGAAGUGAAUGUUGCUCCUGGGCUGGCCGAGCAGGAGGUGGUGGGGUCUGAGCUGCAGCAGAGGCAAGAAUUAACAGGAGAGAUCACCGGAAUAAAGAGCCUUUUGUGGAUUCUGGUCCCUUCAGCAGCUGUCAGGAGAAGCUGAUGCUCGUCACUGGAACCAGUCAUUGCAGGAACAAGAACACAGGUGGAUGUAACCCUCUUCCGUCCCAGCAAGAUAAACAUUGGUAUCCUGAGAGAAAGAACAUGUGUCGCCACUUUGCACUCUUGAGAACGUCUGCAAUCCAGGAGAGCAAACACAUGGAUUCUUCACAUUCUCUUGGACAAAACAUUCUGCUGGGUAAACAGGAGAAUCACAACAUCUAAAUUCUGGACGUGGGAGAUACUGAAGAGUCAAAUCUUGUGGCUUUGACCAACACACAGGGGAAAGCUUCUUUGGGGUGUGGCCCAAAGCAACUUUUUCGCCACAGAGGAUGGUGAUGUGGAUGCAUGCAAUGGUGGAAGAAAUGUAAAUCUGGAAGAGGAGUACCUCUGUCAGAAGAUGCAGGUGUAGGCUGAUGGUGCUCUUCAGCUAGCUGGGUCCAGGGUCUGCAUGGCUUUAGCUACGAAGCGAUCGUUACCAGGCCUGGCUUUGCAGAUGUCAACAUAGAGCCUGUUCCGCUCCCUGGGGAAAGGACAAAGGGACAUUCUGGAAGACAGCUACAUUCUGCUUCUCAGUGUUCCGAACCACAAGCUCGACAGCAGAAAAUGCCAUAAAGGUUGCUUUUGGACUCUAAUAAUUUCAGAGUGAGCUAAGCUCUUGGGUCCAGAGAAGGACAGUGAAGCUGCCAAAGGAUCUAGAGCAAAAGUCUUGUGAGGAGCACCUGAGUGAACAGGGGUUGUUCAGCCUGGAGAAGAAGAGGCUGAAGGGAGACCUUCUGGCUCUCUGCAACCCCCUGAAAGGAGGUUGGGGUUGGUUUCCUCUCCCAAGGAACAAGCAACAGAACAAGAGGAAAUGGCCUUAAAUUGCCCCAGGAGACAUUUAGGUUGGACAUGCGGAAAAAUCUCUUCCCCUUGAGGGCUGUCAGGCUCUGACCCAGGCCGUAUAGGGCAGUGGUGGAGUUUAUCUCUGGCAGAGAUGCAGUGCCAUGGAGAUGCAGUGCUGAGGGACAUGGUUUAGCAGCACACUUGAUAGAGUUAUAUCAGGGUUGGAUUCACUGAUCUUAAAAGUCUUUUCCAAUCAAACCCAUUCUAUGGCAGUUUUAUUUCUUCACAUCUCUUUAGCUUUACACAUUUACUUUCCUCCUCUCUCACUUCUUUUCUGGCCACUUUAAACCAGUGCAGUAACUCAUUAAAACCUUUUAGCAACAGUGUCAAUAGCUUCUCACCUGCAGGACACUUCUGCUAUCCACUGCUCUGACAUUGGUGGUCAUGGAUUGUCUUCUGCAGGUUGGUGUUGGGGUUGUGAUGCUCACUCGUCUUUGGCUACCACAACUUGUUGCUGAUUCUUGCCUUACUCUGAAAACACAACAGAAUUUCUAAUUUUGUCAACAAAAUACAAGCAAUCACUGCAA